UAGGGUUCCAGGACCCAUUUGUAUUCUACAUGUGUUGAUUCAUUCUGAUCUCCACAAACUGUGUUAUGUACCAGCAUCAUCUUGAUAACCUCAAGCUGCAUAGUCAGAACCCAGCCUAUCUGUGGAGAAAGAAGCAGGACAGUCCACUGUGUUUCCUGGAAAUUUAAAAAUCGGCAGCUAGGAAGACUGAGAAAAUCGAGUUAAAUCUCUCAGGCUGGUCUGUGGAGGUGCAACCAGUUGGAAUUCCUUCUGGAAGUGAAAGUAAAAUACCUGCUGUGAAAGAAGCAAACAUGCAAAUGCUGUGAACCCAACUGUUACUAGUCUCACUAAAAUUUUGAUCUUUGAAAGAACACGCCUCCACUGGACAAGUCGUUUUGUUCUUCUGGGGAGGAAUUAAUACAUGGGAUGAAAGGAGGGUCAAUGGACAGCUACCACUACCUAAAUCCCUUAGCUUUAAGUGGGAGUAAUUGGCAUAGCUGCCCGCAAGCCCACCUGUGCUUUAAAACGAGUAAAAGGAGGGGGUUACAGGGAUGACGGGAGCCUAGGAGAGAAAGGGGCGGAAAGCAAAAACGAAAUGAUUCUAAGGAAGGAUAGGGGCGGCUGCUCCACUGCCCCGGCACAGGUAUCAAACGACUGGAAAUGCAUAAUCUGAAAAGUGCUUUUCUACGUGGAAAUCAGCGGUGGAGCCGAUUCUUCUACGUUCCUCGGAGUAACGGUCAGCCUAGGAUUCCACGAGCACUUCACUUGGGUUUCUCUUCUAACCCUCUGCCCUUCUGGAAAAGUGUUACUUUCUACCGACUUCAUAUGUCAGAGAAACAAACCUCCUUCGACUUGAGGAGCUUCUAAAACGCUUUACUUCCCUGAAAAGUGAAAACAGGUGAGACCGAAACAAGCACUUUUGUCCGGAGUCUGAAAUACAGAAAAAGCAGCAGCUGGGCUUCCCGGGUGGCGCAGUGGUUCAGAGUCCGCCUGCCGAUGCAGGGGACACGGGUUCGUGCCCCGGUCCGGGAAGAUCCCACAUGCUGCGGAGCGGCUGUGCCCGUGAGCCAUGGCCGCUGAGCCUGCGCGUCCGUAGCCUGUGCUCCGCAACGGGAGAGGCCACAGCAGUGAGAGGCCCGCGUACCGCAAAAAAAACACAAAAAAACAAACCAAAAAAAACCAAA